rnacentral:rRNA from 1 species
GAUUUCUGGCGAACCGUUGCGGCCCGUGCUCGUUUCGGGCGUGUGUGCCGUGUCGUGUUUGUCAUCCUUCCAGAGAGCUGCGUCUACCAUUUACUUGGCCGGACGUAUCGAUCUGGAUCGAUUACUUUGAAAAAAUUAGAGUGUUUAAAGCAGGCUUAUGCUGUGAAUACAUUAGCAUGGAAUAAUAAUUUAGGACUUCGGUUCUAUUUUGUUGGUUUCUAGGACUGAAGUAAUGAUUGAUAGGGACAGUUGGGGGUGCUAGUAUUCCGCGGCCAGAGGUGAAAUUCUUGGAUUCGCGGAAGACUAACUACUGCGAAAGCAUU